rnacentral:rRNA from 1 species
UACGUAGGGCGCAAGCGUUGUCCGGAAUUAUUGGGCGUAAAGAGCUCGUAGGCGGUCCGUCACGUCUGCCGUGAAAACCCGAGGCUUAACCUCGGGCCUGCGGUGGAUACGGGCGAACUAGAGGUAGGUAGGGGAGAACGGAAUUCCCGGUGUAGCGGUGAAAUGCGCAGAUAUCGGGAGGAACACCGGUGGCGAAGGCGGCGAUCUGGGUCGAUACUGACGCUGAGGUGCGAAAGCGUGGGGAGCAAACAGGG